rnacentral:rRNA from 1 species
GACGAACGCUGGCGGCGUGCCUAAUACAUGCAAGUUGAGCGCUGAAGGUUGGUACUUGUACCGACUGGAUGAGCAGCGAACGGGUGAGUAACGCGUGGGGAAUCUGCCUUUGAGCGGGGGACAACAUUUGGAAACGAAUGCUAAUACCGCAUAAAAACUUUAAACACAAGUUUUAAGUUUGAAAGAUGCAAUUGCAUCACUCAAAGAUGAUCCCGCGUUGUAUUAGCUAGUUGGUGAGGUAAAGGCUCACCAAGGCGAUGAUACAUAGCCGACCUGAGAGGGUGAUCGGCCACAUUGGGACUGAGACACGGCCCAAACUCCUACGGGAGGCAGCAGUGGGGAAUAUUGCACAAUGGGGGAAACCCUGAUGCAGCGACGCCGCGUGAGUGAAGAAGUAUUUCGGUAUGUAAAGCUCUAUCAGCAGGGAAGAAAAAUGACGGUACCUGACUAAGAAGCCCCGGCUAACUACGUG